GUGCCCCAACAUAGUACAAAUGCAUUUAUUACAAAAAUAUGGAGAUGGUGCAACUAGUUAAUGUCAUAAUACGGUGGUAUUAGACUAGCCUGACAGACUUUAUCUGCUCUAGCUACGCGUCUUGGGAACUUCCCACUUUUUCGAACCGCUGAUUUGUACUGCCCUGAGGUUAGGGGUCGAUAACUCCUCGAGGGUGAUUCUCGGCCUUAGCCUUGAGCCUUUGAAAAUGUGCCGAUAAGGCAUUGUAAUGACCAAAAAUUGAACCUUCUGAUUUUACCGUACACAAUCCGCUAACAACUUUGUGCUCUUAAUCUGUAACAACAAUUUAUUCCAAAUUAAACUGUCAAUGCUAGAUAGAGUUAUCG
rnacentral:lncRNA from 1 species